GCCAGGCGCGGUGGCUCACACCUGUAAUCCCAGCACUUUGGGAAGCUGAGGUGGGCGGAUCACCUGAUGUCAGGAGUUCUAUACCAGCCUGGCCAACAUGGCGAAACCCCAUCUCUACUAAAAAUACAAAAA
rnacentral:sRNA from 1 species